rnacentral:misc_RNA from 1 species
GAAAUGCGAUAAGUAAUGUGAAUUGCAGAAUUCAGUGAAUCAUCGAAUCUUUGAACGCACCUUGCGCUCCUUGGUAUUCCUUGGAGCAUGCCUGUUUGAGUAUCAUGUAAUCUUCAAAGUAAAUCUUUUGUUAACUCAAUUGGUUUCUACUUUGGUAUUGGAGGUCUUUGCAGCUUCACACCUGCUCCUCUUUGUUCAUUAGCUGGAUCUCAGUGUUAUGCUUGGUUCCACUCGGCGUGAUAAGUUAUCUAUCGCUGAGGACACUGUAAAAGGUGGCCAAGGUAAAUGCACAUGAACCGCUUCUAAUAGUCCAUUGACUUGGACAAUACUUUUAUGAUCUGAUCUCAAAUCAGGUAGGACUACCCGCUGAACUUAAGC